rnacentral:lncRNA from 1 species
UACAGAAACACACCGAUAUUAUGAUGUCUGGUGCCUUAAUACAGCUAUAUGAAGCAGACUUGAAACCAAGUUCUUGGACAAGGAAGCCAAGUUCUUGGACAAGAUUGGAGGUCCUGUUUGCUAUUCUGCACAAUAGCAGAAAGAAUCGUGAUAAAUACCAAAAUGGUAACAUUAAAUCACUAUUCCUGAGGGUAAAUAUUAAUACCUAGAAAGAGGGAAACUGCCAGAUUAUGCUUCGACUAUGAUCGGUCUUCAUUUGAUCUAUAUCUUGUCAAUCGUCGACGUCUUCUUGGGAUGGGAGAGACAUCUUCAUUUGUAUCACUUAAUAUAUUAACAUCCGAAUCAUUGUCAUCAUCGUCAUCGU